CUGCCUUGAGUGUGGGCCUCUGCGGAACUGUAGGCCUUAAUGGGUUUGCGGAUGCUGGAGAGUCAAAUGGUCUAGCCAUUUUUUGUUGUUCUGUUUUGGGGUUAUUGCCCAGAUUUGUUGGUCUCAUGGCCCUGUAAAAAUUCUCUUAUUAGAAAAUCGGGAAGGGAGUUAUUUUCUCCUUUAAUAAAUUCAAUUUGAAAAUCAAAGCUAGAUAGGAGAGCUUGCCAUCUAGCAAAUAUUUGUUUAGAAACAAGAUUUUUA
rnacentral:lncRNA from 1 species